rnacentral:lncRNA from 1 species
UCUCCUGCAUCAGCCUACCAAGUAGCUGGGAUUACAGAUAAGGAAACUGAGGAAUGGAGAGACGAAAUGUCUUGUCCAUGGUCAUCACAGCUGCUACCACGGAAGCCCUAGUCUGGCAGGAAAGAAGAGUCAUUAGGCAUCAUCUGGCAACUUGGCUUGGAGAAGUCAGAUCAGUCACCAAGAGUCUGGUGGGGCUGCAGCAAUGGCUAGAAAGAACCAGUGACAUGAUUGCCAGAUAGAGUGGUCAGAGAAGACCUUUCUGAGGCCAUGGUAUUUAAGAUGAGACUUGAAGAGCAACAAGAAGCUAGACACACAAAGCAGAUAAUUUUUUAAUGGCCAUUUCUGGAGAGAAGUUUCCAAGGGAUGAAGUUAUUAUACAGUUUCCAAAUAUUCCUGAAGAGGUCUAAAGAAAAUGUAUUCUGAUUCCACCUUUUACCUGUUUUCCUUUUUUUUUUUCUCUCUCUCUCUUUUUGGAAUUUGUUAUUUGGAUAUAGGAUACACUAGGCUGGUGCUCCAAUUUUCUUAUAUUUUCUGUUUUCCUUGAAGUUUUAGGGGACUUUCUGAACUUUAUUUUUCAAAAUUCAGUUGAGUCUUUAUUGUUUUCCAAAUAUCAACAUUUCUUACCCAGACUAAUGAACUAGCCUACUCACUCAUCUUUCUGAUCCUAUUCCUCUAUAUUAUCCACCCCAAUCCCAAGUUAAUUCUUGUAUGGUCUUUUUGAAAGACUGCAUGAGGUUUUUUGUUUUUAUUUCUGCUUAAAUUAUUUGCUGAUUUAUUUGCACUUAGGAUACAGGCCUAAAUCCUUAGCUUUGCUGACAUCAUGAAAGAUGUGGGCCCUCCCUAGCACUCCAGUUUCAUCUUACAUCAUGCCACUCUUUGGUACUUUAUCCUUACUGUCCAGCUUCAUUUCCUAGAGUGUCCUGUGACCCUCUUGACUCAGAGCCUCUGCACGUGCUGUUCCCUGUGUUUGUCUCCUUUGUCCAGCUCUACCAACUUCCUUUAUCUCUCAGUGUUCAGGUGUCAUCUCAUCUCCAGCAUGAAUUAGAUGUCUUAUCUUGUGCUUCUCAUUGGGCUAUACUGUAAUGCUUAGCACAUUAGUCAGUUCCCUCAUUGCUAUAAAGAAAUACCUGAGGCUGGGUAAUUUAUAAAGAAAGGAGGUUUAAUUGG